ACCCCAGAAUUCCAGGGUGAGGUAGGAAGGGAGAGACAGUCCCAAGCCUGUAGCAGGGGCCCCUCACCUGUCGACCCCCUACUUCUUUGUUUGGGGGUACCCUCCCAGAAAGAGCCCCCACCCCUCUCCACAUCACUUUCCUUCAUCUCUCCAACCACUGUCCUCAUUUUAAAGCCUGCAAAAGGGUGCUCCUCUCCUCCACGCCUUCAGCCAAGAGAU